UUUCAGAACACAAGAUGAUUGUCUUUCACCAACAAAAUGGACAAGAACUGCUAGGAAAUCACAAGCUUGCCCCUUCUCGAUCAAGAUCUCCACCUGCAACCCGAUCGUCCCGGUUGUUGUUCAUCGACGUUGUCCACCACUGAUGAAUGAAUGGUUCCACCCUGGUCUCACAUGAACUCUUGGAUCCAAUUACAAAGCUAUUCUACCUUCUUACCCAAUACCAUCCAUCAAGCAUAUUUUGACCACAUUUGGCGUCGCUGUUUACGUACUUCCCCUCCUUCCCGUUUCUACGCCACCUUUCUAACAUUGUUGCUACUGCGGUUACUGUGGCUGAGUUCCUGAGUUCCGAGACGGUCCAUAUACGAUGCAUGUAAAUGGUCCACCCUGGUUUAUUUGAUUUGAUUUGAGGCUCAGCUCAAGAGCGGCAGAAUCGGAAGAAAGAAAUAUCCAGAUUGUAAUGGAAAGAUGUAGUUGUAGGAUCGCCAUGUUAUAGUCAUCCAUUUCAAGCGAUUGGUGGAAUCUCUCCGAAACUUGUACUCACUCCAAUCAUUGUUAUGACAAACUUGUUCUGUUGCCAGUCUCUAGUACGCAUCACCUGUUCUUGUCUCUUUUCCCUUCCUAGAAAAAACUGAUGAAAAAUGAAUCCAAUUGUUGUGGAAAGUGCUAAUUGUCCAUUAUUCUUUAAGAACCCUUCCUUAGGUUUCAUUGAGCCUAAAAUUCUAUGUUCUGUGCCAAUAUUAGAGAAUAAAUCAGAAUUAUAUUGUUCCGAAACCAA